rnacentral:lncRNA from 1 species
UUAAAAAAUUACAAAUUAAAUUUAAAAGGAAACACACAUGUUGUCACUUUUUUUAUUUAUGAAAUGUCAUUAAAUAACGGCAUUUGGUUUCAGAAUAGAAGUUUUAUUGAAGAUCAUGCAUGACGAAAUCGGACAGUGUAACUUGUAUCUUUUACAAGAUUUGAAUUUGUUAUACGCAGUCUAACACAUGUAGUUUCGGAGCACAUUUUACAGAGUACGGUUUAUCUGUUUGGAAUGAGAUGUAUCAAUCGGCAUGAGAUUUAUAAGAACCCUUCCCUUCGAUAUCGUUGAAAUUAUGCCAUGGCGAUGUGUUCGACGGACUAACAGAGCAACUCAUCCUGCAAACACGCCAAAACAGUAUUGGAAAGUC